GUCAAGAUAAACAAGAUGGUGAAGCAAUUGACACUUUUAGUAAUAAUUGCUGUUGUGCUAAUAUUAGGAGAAGUCUCAGGUACCAUAUGUUUUAAACACUCAAGUGAAUAAAGACAGAAAAUGUUUGAUAAUAAUAUUAUUUAUUUAUUUUAUUUUUACCAUGAUGUGAUGGCGGGAAGCCUUGUUUUAAAGGCACACUUCGUCAAAGUCAGGGAAGAAAGAUGUUUGCAACCAAUUCUGCGUGGUGAAUGUAAUGACUAUCACACAAGGUAUGCCUACGAUCCGGAGAUAAAUAAAUGCGUGAGAUUUAAAUAUGGCGGCUGCGGAGGGAGCUCGAACGAGUUCCUUCACCAUCAUGAGUGUCGACAUGCUUGCAUAAUAUAAUUAAAUACGAGGAUUCAAUCAGCCUAUCGCCAUCUACUAAACGUAGGCAAAUGAGCGCCUACCACGCCGGUCCGCUGCCCGCCGCUUUUCAAGUCUAAUAAAUAAAAAAGUAAAAAAAAAAUGUUGUUAAACGGUUUUAUAUUGCAGAUAAAUGUACUAAAAGC
rnacentral:misc_RNA from 1 species